CAUGCACCGAAGCUGCGGCAGCGACACUGUGUGUUGUUGGGUAGGGGAGCGUUCUGUAAGCCUGUGAAGGUGUGUCGUGAGGCAUGCUGGAGGUAUCAGAAGUGCGAAUGCUGACAUAAGUAACGAUAAAGCGGGUGAAAAGCCCGCUCGCCGGAAGACCAAGGGUUCCUGUCCAACGUUAAUCGGGGCAGGGUGAGUCGACCCCUAAGGCGAGGCCGAAAGGCGUAGUCGAUGGGAAACGGGUUAAUAUUCCCGUACUUGGUGUUACUGCGAAGGGGGGACGGAGAAGGCUAUGUUGGCCGGGCGACGGUUGUCCCGGUUUAAGCGUGUAGGUGUGUGUUCCAGGUAAAUCCGGUUCACUUUAACACUGAGGCGUGACGACGAGGCACUACGGUGCUGAAGCAACAAAUGCCCUGCUUCCAGGAAAAGCCUCUAAGCAUCAGGUAACAUCAAAUCGUACCCCAAACCGACACAGGUGGUCAGGUAGAGAAUACCAAGGCGCUUGAGAGAACUCGGGUGAAGGAACUAGGCAAAAUGGUGCCGUAACUUCGGGAGAAGGCACGCUGACACGUAGGUGAAGUGAUUUACUCAUGGAGCUGAAGUCAGUCGAAGAUACCAGCUGGCUGCAACUGUUUAUUAAAAACACAGCACUGUGCAAACACGAAAGUGGACGUAUACGGUGUGACGCCUGCCCGGUGCCGGAAGGUUAAUUGAUGGGGUCAGCGCAAGCGAAGCUCCUGAUCGAAGCCCCGGUAAACGGCGGCCGUAACUAUAACGGUCCUAAGGUAGCGAAAUUCCUUGUCGGGUAAGUUCCGACCUGCACGAAUGGCGUAAUGAUGGCCAGGCUGUCUCCACCCGAGACUCAGUGAAAUUGAACUCGCUGUGAAGAUGCAGUGUACCCGCGGCAAGACGGAAAGACCCCGUGAACCUUUACUAUAGCUUGACACUGAACAUUGAGCCUUGAUGUGUAGGAUAGGUGGGAGGCUUUGAAGUGUGGACGCCAGUCUGCAUGGAGCCGACCUUGAAAUACCACCCUUUAAUGUUUGAUGUUCUAACGUGGACCCGUUACCCGGGUUGCGGACAGUGUCUGGUGGGUAGUUUGACUGGGGCGGUCUCCUCCUAAAGAGUAACGGAGGAGCACGAAGGUUGGCUAA
rnacentral:rRNA from 1 species